rnacentral:rRNA from 1 species
UACGUAGGGACCGAGCGUUGUCCGGAAUCAUUGGGCGUAAAGAGCGUGUAGGCGGCCACUUAAGUCCUGCGUGAAAUCCUGCGGCUCAACCGCAGGCGGUCGUGGGAAACUGGGUGGCUAGAGUGCGGGAGAGGAGAGUGGAAUUCCGGGUGUAGCGGUGGAAUGCGUAGAGAUCCGGAAGAACACCGAUGGCGAAGGCAGGUCUCUGGGCUGACACUGACGCUCAUGCACGAAAGCGUGGGGAGCAAACAGG